GACGAACGCUGGCGGCGUGCCUAAUACAUGCAAGUAGAACGCACAGUUUAUACCGUAGCUUGCUACACCAUAGACUGUGAGUUGCGAACGGGUGAGUAACGCGUAGGUAACCUGCCUGGUAGCGGGGGAUAACUAUUGGAAACGAUAGCUAAUACCGCAUAAUAUUGAUUAUUGCAUGAUAAUUAAUUGAAAGGUGCAAUUGCACCACUACCAGAUGGACCUGCGUUGUAUUAGCUAGUAGGUGAGGUAACGGCCCACCUAGGCGACGAUACAUAGCCGACCUGAGAGGGUGAUCGGCCACACUGGGACUGAGACACGGCCCAGACUCCUACGGGAGGCAGCAGUAGGGAAUCUUCGGCAAUGGACGAAAGUCUGACCGAGCAACGCCGCGUGAGUGAAGAAGGUUUUCGGAUCGUAAAGCUCUGUUGUAAGAGAAGAACGGGUGUGAGAGUGGAAAGUUCACACUGUGACGGUAUCUUACCAGAAAGGGACGGCUAACUACGUG
rnacentral:rRNA from 1 species